GCCGGUGCUUGUGUGAUCGCCGGUGAGAACCGAGUCAAUGAUGACGAUGGUGGUAUCUAGCCUCAGUAGCCAGUAGCCUGACUUCCGGUGUCUUAACCAAGACUGCAGAUUGCUGCUGCUGUAUGUGGAACAAGCAGGGGAGACUCCACAGAACAUACAUCUCCAUAAUAAGCCCAGUGGUGGAAAAAGUACCCAAUUCUCUCCUUCCCCAUCUCUCCUUCCCAUAUCUCCUUCCCCAUCUCUCUCUCCCUAGAGCGCGCAAACAGGGUGAGCGGUAUUUGCAGGCCACAGAGAGCAUUAGCAGUGAGCUAAUGAUUGAGGACUGAGCUCAGGAGUACAAGAAUUGCUGGUGGAUGAUGGGAAAGCAGAGCAGAGCGGAGUGCAGCACCCCUGACUGUGUCAACACCCUAGCCCAGAUGUGCUGCAUCACUCCCAGUCAUGUAACAUUCUCUCUCCCCCUCUCUCUCUCUCUCUCUCUCUCUCUCUCUCUCUCUCU